rnacentral:lncRNA from 1 species
GGGAGGGGCUGGGCAUUAGGCCAGGCCAGAAGGACCAGGGACUACAAACUCACCUUCAGGGCUCCUAAGCUGCUGCGGAGCUAGACGGCGGGCUGUGGGUGGGGAGGAGACUAGAAUAUUCUGAGACGGGGUCAGGUGGGAGUUGGGAGAGGUAACGUGGAGUUGCUGCCCAAGAUGCAGCUCAGCUCCAGUGGCCACACCAAGACGGUUUAAGACCGAGAGCGGAACCAGGGAGGUUGUUUUUGGUGGCUGGGGGCUUGGGUUUGAGUUCCUUGAACAGCAGAGGGUGCUUGGAUUUAGGGAGGUGAGGCUGGGAAGGGUUCGGGUAUGAGGAAGGAAGCUGAAGUUCCCUGGCGUGGGUGGCAGGAAGGGCUCUAACCCUGGGGCGGGGUGUGAGGGCCGUGGCCGUUAUGGCUGUCGAGGCCGAAGGAGAGGGAUUCUGAACUCGGGACCCAGGGCUUGGGAUGGGGUAUGAAAUCUAUGUCUUGGGUAUGCCUCCUCCCCCAAUCUUGCUCAGGCUCUAAUUGCCUGGACGAAGAACCCCGAGCUGUCUGGCCGGCCUUUCACAGUAUCCGACCGGGGCGUCCUGGACCGCCGCCAGCUCUAUCUGACCACCUCGGCGCGGGACUUUCGGUUCUAUCCCAAGACGGAGCUGUCCGGAUACCCCCGCAAGGACUCCCUGACCUACUGGAGCUUCGAAGAGACGCCCCAGGUCUGGAGCCACGGCCCG